rnacentral:lncRNA from 1 species
CUUGGGGGCCGGAAAGGGUCUCAGAGGAAGCCAGAACUACCCUGUGCCUCUUGGCCCGGGCCAGGCAGUGCUGUGGGGCAGCAGGGGGUGCUGGAUGAGGUCUUGGGGGGGGGGCACCGGGCGACCGGCCCGGCCGCCGAGGAGUGGCCUGAGGGGGCGCAGCGGGGGGCUCUACGGGGACUCACGGGGGCUCGGGUCUCCCAGGUCCUGUACAAGGUGGCCUGGAGCGAGAGCGUCGAGAGAGACUGCGCCACCUUCUGCGCCAAGAAGUUCGCCGAUCACCUGCACAAGUUCCACGAGAACGGGGACGGCGGUGACAUGUGGCAGUGAAGGAAGGACCCCCACGCCCCCCCCCCGGCGCCCCCAACCCCUUCUCCCCCUACCUGUCCAACCCCCACUUUGGGGCACACCAGUACCCAUCAGUACCCCAGCAGCCUCUGAGAAUCUCAGGUUCCACCCCUCAACCCCCCAGGGUUGGCCCGAGGUGAUCUGGGUGGGCGGAGGCAAGUGGAGGGUCCCCUCUGUCCUUUCCCCCCCCCCCCCCGGCGCUAUGCUGGGAACCUUCCGGCGAGCAGAGCCGGCCCCGCUCCCAACCCUCCGAAAUCAGAAAUCAGAUAUCAGCUCUCCCGGUUUCUAAAAGAUUAAACGGUUCCCCCGCCGUCCCCCACCUUCCCCACCGUCUGUCCCUUGUCACCCCUGCCGGGGAACUUCGCUCUGCCGCCGGCUUUGCCCCCUGCUCUGCCCGCUGCUCGGCCAGGCCCCGUGAUGAGCUGGCACUGGGCUGGUCUGUACCCAAUCUGCAUGCGCCCUGCCCCUUCCUCCCUAAGACCCAGGGAGGGAUGCUCCCCUCCCCGUAGCUCCCAGCUGGUCGAGUGGAGCGGGGGACCCGCCGUGGCGAGGGUCACUGAGUGGGAGGAGACACCCCGGUGGUCCGGCCUGCCCCCAAUCCUUGGGUGACGGUGUUUCCUGUCCUUGGCCAUUUCUGCACCGAGCUUACUUGGCAAAAUCCAAGAGGGGCCGGGAUUUGGGGGGGGGGUCUGGCACGGGGCCUAGCUGGGCUGUGUGGGUCCUCCUACCCCUUGUGCGCCCCCCACCCCAGGAAAUGGUGGACUUCUCUGCCAAUGCUUCUCAUCUCGGGCCCCUUUCCCACGCUCAGGCAAUACUGCCUUGCCAGGAAUUUAUGCAUUCUGCAAGACAGCCCUGGUCAUUCUGCUGUGCCCUCUGCCCACCUCCCCUGCCCGUCCUCCCCGUGCCCGCCAUCCCCUGCCCCCUGCCCGCCUCCCACAGACCCCGGCUGGGAUCUGUACCUGCCCCAGGGCCUCCCGUUCACCCGGAGUCCCAUCGACGCCGUCCCCGCUGGCCGAGCCCAGCCCUGCAUAGGUGGCAGGUGGUGGUGGUGGUGGUCCAGAAAUCGGGUCACUUGGAUCGGGGGAGGCAGAGUUUGGGGGGAGGCGUAGGGGCGACAUUCAGCCCCUGCGAUCUGGCUCCCCACCCCCAAGCAGAUUUAGCAUUGCGCUCGGCACGCUUUAGCCAGAAUAAACUCAGCCGUGCAUCAGCGGACGUGGUCCCGUCGUCUGUGACCCGGAGAGGGCGGCGGGGUGG